AGAGUUUGAUCCUGGCUCAGGAUGAACGCUAGCGACAGGCUUAACACAUGCAAGUCGAGGGGCAGCGAGGGCGUAGCAAUACGCCUGUCGGCGACCGGCGCACUGGUGAGUAACACGUAUGCGACCUGCCCCCUACAGGGGUAUAACCCGUAGAAAUGCGGACUAAUCCCCCAUAGUCCUGGGUGCUGCAUGGCAUUCAGGGGAAAGGCCAGCCGGUAGGGGAUGGGCAUGCGGCGCAUUAGCUAGUUGGCGGGGCAACGGCCCACCAAGGCGACGAUGCGUAGGGGUUCUGAGAGGAAGGUCCCCCACACUGGUACUGAGACACGGACCAGACUCCUACGGGAGGCAGCAGUGAGGAAUAUUGGUCAAUGGGCGCAGGCCUGAACCAGCCAAGUCGCGUGAGGGAAGACGGUCCUACGGAUUGUAAACCUCUUUUGUCGGGGAGUAACGUGCGGGACGGGUCCCGUAUUGAGAGUACCCGAAGAAAAAGCAUCGGCUAACUCCGUGCCAGCAGCCGCGGUAAUACGGAGGAUGCGAGCGUUAUCCGGAUUUAUUGGGUUUAAAGGGUGCGCAGGCGGCGCGCCAAGUCAGCGGUCAAAGUUCCGGGCUCAACCCGGUGUCGCCGUUGAAACUGGCGUGCUCGAGUGCGUGCGAGGAAGGCGGAAUGCGUUGUGUAGCGGUGAAAUGCAUAGAUAUGACGCAGAACUCCGAUUGCGAAGGCAGCUUUCCAGCGCGCUACUGACGCUGAGGCACGAAAGCGUGGGGAUCGAACAGGAUUAGAUACCCUGGUAGUCCACGCAGUAAACGAUGACUACUAGCUUUCCGGGAUGAUUGAGUCCUGGGAGGCACAGCGAAAGCGUUAAGUAGUCCACCUGGGGAGUACGCCGGCAACGGUGAAACUCAAAG
rnacentral:rRNA from 1 species